AAAAGAAAUCGCCCCGAACAUCAAACCCGCCCACUCGCCUCGGUCAGGGAGAGCACGGGAACUCGCUCGGACCGCGCGCCACGUGAGCUCGAGGGGGCAAUUCGGUACAUUCCGGGUGGCCGAAGAUAUUCCUCGAGAUGCGAGGUGGGGACCACGCGUUGGCUUCGGUUUCUGAGCAGCUGACCGUCGUAGCGGUCGAGCAACGCGGAGAGGAGGAGCGGCGUGGGUCCGCGUGAAGAGACAACCUAAGCAGAAUCCACGAGGCAAAUUUCUACUCAGUUUUCGUGGAUAAAAGUCUUCGUUUAGUUACUUUAGGGUUUCCACCAUUGCUUAGGGCCUCAGCUUGCACAGCAGAGUUUACUCUUACCGAUCUAGCAAAUUCAUCCAUCAAAUCUCCAUAAUUGUUUCGGCAAACACAGCUUAUUGCUCCGAUUGUCGUUCCGGGCAAGAAAAUCUAUUUAUAUUGAUUUUGAGGGUGUCUUCGCUUGGGCCAAACUAGAUCUGAGAGGAUAGAUGCAAGGAGGUCGAAACAUGCAGAGGAUGAUUGAAUUUAAGUGGCCAUUCAUCUAUUCGACCAAGUCCAUAAGGUAUCGCGUUGGAUUUUCUUGGGCGUUGAGAUUUCCGCCUUGUGAAGACAACGACUCUAAGCACGUGGUUACUGUUCCCGGUGCAUCAAUUACUAAUUUACAUAUACCUCAACCAUUUUGACGCAUUGGCGCGAUUCUGAUUGCCAACUGGUUCGAUUAUAUAACUCAAACCAAUAAAGAGUAGUGGGCAACAAGGCAUUUCGUGUUUCCUGAGAAGCAUUCUGAUUUUUCCUCCGUCAGAGUUGAAAGCAAACAGUAAGGGCAGAGUCAGAGCAAAGACGAAAUGCAUCGUCCCAUUUUUGGUCAUUCUUUCGCCGUGCUCGUGGCACCCAUCCUUCUCUCCGUGCUUGCGUUUAAAUUUCUAAACAAGAAGAAAACCAGCGUGCGUAAAAAUGUAAAAGAUGCUGAUGCUGCCACAUCUGGUUCGUUGACUGCACCGAAGGAAACUGAUUCCGAUGGCUCUAGUUUGUUUCCGACAAAAACUAACAAUGGUGCAUCCUGUUCGUCGACCACAUCGACUGGAAACUACUAUGAGGUGUUCUUGAACUUUAGAGGCCAAGAUACUCGAAGAGGCUUCACCGAUCACCUCUACAAUGGGCUUGUUGAUGCUGGAAUUUCUGUUUUCAAAGAUGAUAACGAACUCCGCCAAGGCGAGAAGAUCAGACCAGACCUUUUGACAGCCAUUAGAACAGUAAGAUCCUAAUCCCCAUUAUAUCCGUUAAUUAUGGGCAGAGCAGGUGGUGCUUGGAUGAACUAGUUCAAAUAAUGGAGUGCAAGAAGAGUAACAUGGGUUACACCGUGUUGCCCAUAUUCUACAAAGUGGAACCAUCUCAUGUGCGAUUUCAAAGUGGGAGUUUUGGAGAUGCAUUUCGUACACGUAGUAAGCAUUUCGACUCAAUGACUUUGGAGAAAUGGAAGCAAGCACUCAACGAAGUCAGUUCCUUGAAAGGAUUUGAUGGGUUUUUUACAAAAAAAAAGAAGAAGAAGAAAAAGCAGUAAGAUCUUGCGAUGCAUGAGUUCCAUAAGUCAUUCUGUUUCAAGAAUUACUUUAAUGGUAUCAACAAAUCUUGUCGUAGAAUUUAUUGUUAUCAUCCCACUAGCUUGAAUAAUAUAGAAUUUUUAAUUGACUUAUUA